rnacentral:snoRNA from 1 species
CAGUGAGGUGAUGGCCUACCAUCUUUCGGGACUGACCAGUAAUGGAGACACCCUUUUUGCUGCUGAUCACUG